GGACCCGCACAAGUAGUGGAGCAUGUGGUUUAAUUCGAAGAUACGCGCAGAACCUUACCAACACUUGACAUGUUCGUCGCGACUUUGAGAGAUCAAAGUUUUCGGUUCGGCCGGACGAAACACAGGUGCUGCAUGGCUGUCGUCAGCUCGUGUCGUGAGAUGUUGGGUUAAGUCCCGCAACGAGCGCAACCCUCACUUUUAGUUGCCAUCAUUAAAGUUGGGCACUCUGAAAAGAACUGCCAGUGAUAAGCUGGAGGAAGGUGGGGAUGACGUCAAGUCCUCAUGGCCCUUACGUGUUGGGCUACACACGUGCUACAAUGGUAUCUACAACAGGAAAGCAAAAACUGCGAAAGUU
rnacentral:rRNA from 1 species